rnacentral:tRNA from 1 species
UCCCUGGUGGCUCAGAUGGUAAAGUAUCUGUUUGCAAUGCAGAAGACAUGGGUUCCAUCCCCAAGUUGGGAA